rnacentral:rRNA from 1 species
CAAGUCGAGCGAACAGACGAGGAGCUUGCUCCUCUGACGUUAGCGGCGGACGGGUGAGUAACACGUGGAUAACCUACCUAUAGGACUGGGAUAACUUCGGGAAACCGGAGCUAAUACCGGAUAAUAUAUUGAACCGCAUGGUUCAAUAGUGAAAGACGGUUUUGCUGUCACUUAUAGAUGGAUCCGCGCCGCAUUAGCUAGUUGGUAAGGUAACGGCUUACCAAGGCAACGAUGCGUAGCCGACCUGAGAGGGUGAUCGGCCACACUGGAACUGAGACACGGUCCAGACUCCUACGGGAGGCAGCAGUAGGGAAUCUUCCGCAAUGGGCGAAAGCCUGACGGAGCAACGCCGCGUGAGUGAUGAAGGUCUUCGGAUCGUAAAACUCUGUUAUUAGGGAAGAACAAAUGUGUAAGUAACUAUGCACGUCUUGACGGUACCUAAUCAGAAAGCCACGGCUAACUACGUGCCAGCAGCCGCGGUAAUACGUAGGUGGCAAGCGUUAUCCGGAAUUAUUGGGCGUAAAGCGCGCGUAGGCGGUUUUUUAAGUCUGAUGUGAAAGCCCACGGCUCAACCGUGGAGGGUCAUUGGAAACUGGAAAACUUGAGUGCAGAAGAGGAAAGUGGAAUUCCAUGUGUAGCGGUGAAAUGCGCAGAGAUAUGGAGGAACACCAGUGGCGAAGGCGACUUUCUGGUCUGU